UGGAAAACCCCCAAUAUUUACAUGUUGUGGACUUUAACAAUAAGGGAGAAUUAUAAAUUGCUUUGAUAUGUUUAUUAAACAAUGCAUACUUGGGUCUCCAAGUAGUGAGUUGUGUGGUCCCCACCCAGAAUCAAGCUGCAGUCAUGGUCUGUGUAGGUUUUAUUUCAGUACCGGAGGGAAAGUAAUAGGAAGUAAUGCAAUAUGUAUCGGCUUUCCCAGAGAAGCUUAUCAGUUUAGCCCUGUCUCUCACUGCACAGCAGGCAUGCAGGCCACAGACACAUGGAAAUUAAUGAUUAAGCCCAAAUUGUGAAACAAAGCUGUGGCACUGGAAGACAAACCCUCUAGAUUCGAACAUGAAAUCCAAUUUUUUUGGCUGGCUGCUGUCAUAGUUUUGUACCGAGGCCACUCGAACCCACCCUACAACUGUGGAAGGUUGAGCACCCAUUUCAUGUAACCUGUCACAGAAACCCUACGUAUGCAAGGAGCCUGACCCGUCCCCUACCCACAAGUGUUUCUUGCAACACGAUGGGAAAACAGAGCAGCUGAGAUGGUCAGCUAAAUCUCAGUUUACACCUACAUACCUGCAUCAACAGGUGAAUUCUCUGCACAGUGAUUUUACCAAACCAGUUUCUCGUAACAGAACCAACUUUCAAUGUUGCUGAGCACCCACAAUCCUGCUUGAAAUCAACAGAAAGACAGGAGCACAUCACUUCAUGAGAGCAAGAGUUGUGAGAGGAAUGGAAAAAGGAAUUUGGCCUGAAGUCCAGUGAAGUCUGUGGAAAACUUCCAAGGGUUUCAUCUGGCUUUGUAUCAGUAUUUUGAGGAAACUGGGAAUAUUUCCUAGAAAAUGCAUUGCCUUUCUCUCCCUCUUCACCUGGCUCUGUUGCUUUGUUUUUUGCUGCUUUCUUUUUGUACUGAACCCUUUCUGAUGUUUUGUUCUUCUGCCUUGUUCUGAUUUGGAGCUGCAACUUAAGAAGCAGCAAAUCACUGGAGUAACAUUACGUGCAGCCGGCCAUCCCAGCUUAAGCAAAAUUCAACCCACCAUCUAAGGUGUGGCAGUGGGAAAAAGAAAGCAGGAACACAGGACCUCCCCAUAAAGAUCAGACCUGAGGCCAGUCCACCCUUGUACCUCAGCCCCGACAAGAGCUUCAGUGGACAGAGUACUGAAGGCUGCAGGACGCUACGUUGGAAGAGGCAUGGCUUCACUGCAGUGGAGGCACUGUGGAAAUGUUACCGCUGAGGAGGCAGAGGUGAACCCAAAGGGCUGAUGAAGCUGGGGCAGAGCUGAACUGCGUGCCAUGCCAUGCUCCACUUUUUUCUGGUGGAGCUGGACCACUCUGCAGCCAGGACCUCUGCUGCCUCGAGACAAAAAGAGAAUAUGUGGGAAAAGUUGUUGGAAAAGUGCCAUACUCCCUGCCUGCUUUUGCCUGUGUUUUUCUGUGCUGUUUCUAAAAAUGCUCUCUCCUUGUUUGAACUCCUUCACUUCCCUCCUGUUCCCCUGGCUUUUCCCAUUUAGGUAAGGAAGUGACCUGUUCUUGACACAGCAUCCGAGGUAAAGCCUGUGACCGACUCGGUCCCCAGGCUUGACAGAAGACUUGCCAGGUUCUUUGUUUCUGCGUAGACCGUGAGGAGCCCUCUGCGCUUUUUUCAGGUGAUUUAAUCCGCAGUUGGCCACGCCACAGAUGGCUCUUUGCUGCUGCAGGUGCAUUGCUCCAAGUGGCACAUGAAAUGCUGAGCUUUCUCGAGAGCACUGAAAUCCACUUCUUCUGAGUUGUCUCCAUGCAACAGAUGAUGGCUUUAUGAAGAACAAAGCAAAGGACCAUUUUACAAUAAAAGAGGAGUGUGCUUUGGUUGUGCCGGAAGGAAAACCAGAAAACAGCACAAGGCAAUAACUCACAGAUGCUGGCGAAGAGCUGGAGGAAGCAGUUACAGAAGAACUAAGAAGCUGUAGUGGAAUCAUAGAGGAUGAAGUUAACUGCUACAGAAUCCACAGCUGCGCAAGCCUGGACCUGUCUCUUGGAUGCCUCCAGGACUCUGAAGUGAUGCCAGUGAACCAUGAAGUCAGGAUGCUCCACCCAUAGUCCACCCUCCUGCAGAAGUGGGAGUCACCUGGCCAGGUGUGAGGUCAGAAGCUGACCAGCAGUUACUCCAGUGCGGAGCUGAGGAGCUUCCAGGAAACACGAUGACUCCAAAAAAACCCUUGAACAUCAUGUUGAGCAUCUCAUGAAGACAGAAAUAGAAACAGUGAACUUCCAAUAAGAGACUGUAGCUUCUGUGAAAUCCAAAGGGCAUUACAGUACAUGUUUGGGUGUUAACAAGACAGACAUAGAACCAGCGCACUUGAAUAAGCUUUUAACGUAAGCCCAAACUCCAGUGAGAAGGCCCAGACACCAGACUUCAUUGAUUCUUCUGAUAAAGGCAAGCUUUUUUCUCCAUAUUUCUGUCAAGACGAAGAUUUUUGCCAAUGCAAUUGACGGCAUUACCAGACAGUAUUAGACAAAAAUAGCUAGAUCUAACUUUGCCUGGUAAGACAGCAAUCAGCAGGCACUCAGACUAAAGGAAACCACCAACAUUAAAGGAAUUUUUCCAGGUCCAGGACUAAAAAGAUAGGGCAGGGAAAGGCUGAGGGCUUCUCCCUUAGACAAAGCAAUAACCAGUCAAUAUUUAACUUGAAAUACUUACUGAUUAUGAGGCAGUAUAAUUAUGAAAACAACCGUUUCCAGUUCACUGGUACACGAGUUAAAAAAAAAUUGUAAAGAACUUAACUUACCAACAGCUCUGUCCACUGCAUCCAUCUUGCUGUGAAAUUGCUCACCAUGCCUGUGUCUGGUGCAGCUCUGUCAAUAGUAGCACAGCAAGACUGUGGAUGCACACGUUUCAGCUGCGCUCUAAAGACUGUGCCCUCAUCAAUAUUAAAGCUCCCCUCAGUGAGUUAACUUUUUUAGAAUUAAGUCUGAUGCAGACCAGGCCUCAGAGAGCUCUUAAACCAGCCUAAGACUCAGUACUGCCUGUAGAAUUGCUCUCCUGUGAAACUGAUUUAAGCGAGAUGAGAUGAAAAUCAGUAGGAGAAGGGGAGGGAGAGAAAGAUAUUGAGGCAGAGGGGAUUUUUCUGGGUUGCCCCUGGCUCUCAUGACUAACUCCCUCUGAGACAAGACUGAAGGGACACUUUCCUAAGCAUACAUCAUCAUGGGGGAGGGUAGGGGGGGAUUUCCCUGGUCUCCAUUUCAUUUUUUUUGAGGUGACAUUCCUGUGCCUGGCAUGGAUGCUCAAUUAGUUAUCUCUUUUUUUUUUUUUUUUUUUUAAUUUACUCAACUCCAUCCAAGGUUAGGACCCAUACUUUGUUUUAAGAAGAGAUGGAUGGGAGGUAGGUGUGCGCUCCAAUUCAUCUUAUUUAAAUGCUUGUUAAAAGCCAAUUUGCAGAGUCACUCAAAUUUCACACCAUUUCCUCAAUCCCUUGUGAACCAGUUACUUAUUAACACUGAGGCUAAUCACCAAAUAAUGCUUCUCUGCUUCUUCCUUCUCUCUCUUGUUUUCCUGAGAAUUACAACCUGCAAGGGCAAACACAAAACUGAGCUUGUUCCAGUGAGUCAACCAGUGGAGUUAAAGCAGGCACAGUCAGCUCCUUUCAAGCUGUUCACAUUGUAAUGUGAAACAAGUUUAAAAAGGAGCUGAAAACCAGUGGGUACAAUACUGAAGAAUCAGUACAAGGUCUGUGCACCGUCCCACCUCAGGUAGACCAGGUUGUCUGCAAAAUACUGACUUGGAUUAAUCUGUCAAGGACUAUAGGAAGGACCUGCAGGAAGGAGGAGAAGCUUGCUGUAGCAUGCCACGCAACAGAGAAGGUAAAAAUCUAGCACACGCUUCUCAGCCUUGAGCAUUUCCCUGUGUAAGAGCUCUGUGCCAUUCUACGUGGGACUGUCGCUCUGAGGACUCCAGAUUUCUGACUGCCGCCGACCCACUGCAUCACCCAGGAAGAAGGCAGAGUGAUUUGUUUCGUCUUCCUUCCUUCACCCCUUAUUGUUAGUCUUAUAGCUUGGGGUAGUAAUGCCCUCUCACUAUGUGACAGCUUAAGAGAACUCUGAUCGGAGCUAUACUGUGUAGGUAAUGUUAUACUGCAUGUAAUAUUUAUUAUAGCCAUAAGAUGCUCAUAAGUCUUUGUGGAUCCAGCACAGUAUUUCACAUGGUAUGUAUACAAUGUUUCUGUCAAGCUAGACUGUAAAGGAAUACAUUUCAUCCAAGCUACACUUCAGUGAAUCAUUCAGUUGACGUUUCAGAAUAGGGUUCAAGGAAACAACCACCCUUCUUCAUGCAAGUAAUUAAAAACUACAGCACACCGUGUAUCAGUAAGAGAUCCCAGGGGGAGGGUGGGAUUGAGGAAGGUAAGGGGCAGGAUGCUGCUAUUGUUGCAUUUUGGUGCUUAACACCUGCCAGGUAUAGUGAAACACCUGCCCAUAAAGCCAUGUGUCAGAUAAAAACAUCUAACAGCAAUAAUAGCCUUUCUUGGUGAUAGCCUUUAUAAAUCAUUAUUUACAGUACCUUUAAUAUCUGAUAACUGGGAAGUAAAACUUCCUGUAUUGUUUUAAUUCUCAGUAAAGAACAAAAAGCCUCCAUGAACCAUUUAAGACAACAUUCUCAAUCCAUUUAGUCCCUUUAGACUGAGCUAGCUCUUUCAAGGUGAUUUUAACUAGUAUAAUUGAUUUAGGGAAAGGAGCCCCAUCAAAUAAGAAUCAAGCCCAUCAUAUUUUAAAAUGUAUUUAUUAAAAUAUUAGUCCACUAAAGUAAUGAAAACAACCUAAGGGAAUGGGAUUUAAGUCUCGUUCUGUCUAUCUCUCCAACCCCUGCCCCCCCUGCCAAGAACUGACAAAUGGAUGCAAAUAAAAUUUAAAAUGUAUACAUUACAUAAAAGGUCAAGGUUUUAAAAUAAAUGGCUUUGCUAUUAGAACAUUGUACUAGAGAAGAGCAGUCUAGAGGAAUUGCUGUGAAAAGGAAAGAGUAAGUUACAAUAGCAAAGCUGAAAAAGUAAACUCCACUUUUGAUUUCAGCAGUCUAGUUCUUCAAUUAUCUUAUAUUUAGGUGAAAGAACAUUUUGAUUUUGAGAGAAAAUUGUAAACAGGAAAACUCAAACGUUAACAUUUCAAUAAAAUGUUACUUUCAUUCUCUGGAAAGCUACUGUUGUUUAAAAGUAAAUAAAAAGAACAUGUUUGGAGCAGA